rnacentral:rRNA from 1 species
GACGAACGCUGGCGGCGUGCUUAACACAUGCAAGUCGAACGAUGAAGCCUUAGCUUGCUUUGGUGGCUUAGUGGCGCACGGGUGAGUAACACGUGAGCAACGUGCCCAGGACUCUGGAAUAACCGCGGGAAACCGUGGCUACUACCGGAUAGGUGCCGAGGCCGCAUGGUCUUCGGUUGGACAGUUUUUGCGGUUCUGGAUCGGCUCACGGCCUAUCAGCUUGUUGGUGGGGUACUGGCCUACCAAGGCGACGACGGGUAGCCGGCCUGAGAGGGUGACCGGCGACACUGGGACUGAGACACGGCCCAGACUCCUACGGGAGGCAGCAGUGGGGAAUAUUGCACAAUGGGCGCAAGCCUGAUGCAGCAACGCCGCGUGGGGGAUGACGUCCUUCGGGUUGUAAACCGCUUUUAGUAGGGAAGAAGCGCAAGUGACGGUACCUGCAGAAAAAGCACCGGCUAACUACGUG